CGGGACGGGUGAGUAAUGUCUGGGAACGUGCCCGAUGGGAGGGGAUAACUACUGGAAACGGUAGCUAAUACCGCAUAACGUCGCAAGACCAAAGAGGGGGACCUUCGGGCCUCUUGCCAUCGGAUGUGCCCAGAUGGGAUUAGCUAGUAGGUGGGGUAACGGCUCACCUAGGCGACGAUCCCUAGCUGGUCUGAGAGGAUGACCAGCCACACUGGAACUGAGACACGGUCCAG
rnacentral:rRNA from 1 species